UAUUCAACUGUUAUCUUGCAAGAAAACUCUCUUCAGUCAUUUUCCUCCUUUAAAUUGAUUUAAGAUUCUUUGAUGAAAUUCACAGGAUAGUACAUGAGAUUUCCCCAUGUUGAACUUGCAAAUCUAUAUCUGCCAUUGUUGGAUUCGUGUUUCACGGGGUGGAGUUCAAAACCUUGAUAAGUGCAUUAAAUGUCUUGAUUUUCUUUUCUGAUUCAGGCAGCUAAAGAAACUGGAGCUCUCCAAGAUGCCAAAAGCAAGCUGGAAAAGGAAGUUGAAGAGCUGACACAGAGACUACAGGUGGAGAAGCGCAUGAGGGUAAAUAAAUUUCUUUUAAUUUUCAAGAUAACUACCAGUAUUAUAAUUGAUAAUUAGGUUCUAAAAGUUUCAUUAUCUAUAAUGUCGUCCCUUCCACUCAGUUUGACGAAAAUGAGUUCAUCUUAUAUUUGUUCAGGCCCGUCUUUUCUGCACAUCACCGUGAGUUACAGGUCCUACACUUGAUAAUUGAGACAUAUAUCCAAUAGUAUUCCUAAACUUAAGGAAUUGAAAAUAGAUUCGAUUUACUGCAGCUUUAAUCACUUAGGCCUAUCAAAGGCAAAAACACUCCAGAAACUACUGAGGAACUAAUGGUUCACUCCCAGAUUCUCACUCAGAAAUCAAUACUCCUUGAAAUGAUGUACCUGAAGGAUCACUUUUUUGAAAAGAAGAAAGCUCGUAGCAUUUAAGAAUGUACAGAAUAUCUAAUGCAAGUUAAGAACCUGGAUGGGAUAUGCAUUUCUACAUGUAUAUAUCAAUUAACUUUGUUGAAUGAUUCUCAUGCAAACCAUUUUUUGAAGAGAAUGUCCAAUUUAGAAAUGCCUAGACAAUGGUGAAGUACUUUUAUUCUUUGAAUGAAUUAAUUUCACAAUGCAAUAAAGAAACAUGGAAAUGAUAAAGAGAUGCUAGUUUAUUAUGAGGAGAACUUGUUGACAGUUAGCGGAAAACUAGUAUUAUCCUAUAGUAGGCGUUGCUAGUUGAAAUGGUGUAAGUUGCUUAGUGUUUAAUCAUGAUAUGCAGGCUUCUGUUUGCGACCUAAUGUUGAACUAUGAUGCAUGAUAUUUCCAACAUGAUGAGCUACAAUGUUUAAGCACAAUGCUAGACUUUUCAUUGUGCAUCUUUUCCAGUACCCCAUUAUAUAUAUGGCAUAAUUCUGUUCUCCUCUAUAGCUAACAAUGAUCUAUAAACUUUUUCCGAAAAUGCUUCGGUUAUUAUUUUUUAUAUGUUUAGGACUCUGAAAUUCUGCAAACAUUUGUUUGUUGAAACAAAAAAAGUGAACUGGUGAUCGCCUAUCUUAGUGCUCAACUUCUGAAUCAAAAGAAAGCAUAUACUUGUUUCUGCUUAUGAUGCAUACAUGAUUGAAUUGUUGAUGAAAAUUAAUUUCACUAUGAAGUUGUUAUUGUUGGACUUUGGAGUUGGACCAAGGUAAAACAAGAUUUGGAAAAAUUAACAGAAAAUGUAAUGUGAUUCUAUUUCAUAGUAGCAACUUCUUUCUGUACCACUAACUGACAAAAAACUAUAUUAUAUAGGACAAACUUGAGGAAGCUAAAAUCCAGGAAACAAUGAAAUUACAGUCUGCAUUGGAAGAGAUGAGGCUUCAGCUUCAAGAAACUAAAGAGCUGCUCAAGAAGGAACGUGAAGCUGGCACAAAGGUCGUGGAUCAAGGGUCCGUUAUACAAGAGGCCAAGGUUAUAGAUCAGGGGGUGGUCACAGAGGAACGUGCGGCUUCCACAAAGAUCGUGGAACAGGGAUCAGUUGUAAAAGAGGUCCAGGUUAUAGAUCAGGUGCAGGUCAACAAGCUUACAGCUGAAACUGAGAAGCUUAAGGUUAGAAUGUGAGGUUUAACUUUGUUGUAUUACUUAAUGGAUAUUGGAUACUUUAUUUGAAGUUCAAAAAGUAUAUGAAGUAAUCCUGACAGGGAAAGUUUUUCUAUUGUUUCAAAUUUGUUCUUUUAUCCUCUGUUUUCUCACUCAAGAUUAUAUCCAUUACAGCUUCUGAUGCAUAAUUUUCAUAGUUCAGUUGUCGAACUGGCUUUUAAUAUCUUGUCAAAUUCGUCGCAGGUUCUUGUUAACUCAUUGGAAAAGGAAAUUGACGAAAAAGAGAAAAAAUAUGAGGAGACAGUCAGAGUAAGUAGUGAGCGACUGAAGCAAGUUCUGGAGGCCGAGUCUAAGAUAAAUCAGUUGAAGGAUGCCAUGCAAAGGUAAUGAAAUUUUACUUAUGUCAGUUUCUUUGUUUGAAACAGUCUUCCCUUACUUGUUCUACCUUUAUAUGGUUUAGUAUUAAUCUGGGAUUAUCAAUCAUAGUUUCUCUAAAGCAGAAUGUCAAUUAUGACAUCGUCCUUCGUUCCGCAUAGUUGAAUGGUCCAACAAUAACAACUACGCCUCAGUGCCAAAUAAGUUGGGGAGUUGAAUGGUCUAAGUUUAAUAUUUUUAAUUCAUGAUAUACCUACUAAAAAUUAACUGCAUAAACCUCCUAGCAGAUUCAUGGUUCAAUUGUUUCAAUCCACCUUAGCUUCCUCCAAAUUGAAUCUAAUAUGUAGUUGACCCAAAAUUGCAUUUUGAUCUCCGCUGAAUCCAGAUCCUCUCAUAACUUUUGCAAUUGUUGGUAUUUUGUUGUCAAUACAGUUCUAAGUUAGUUUGAAUUUCGCACCAAUUUAGAUCCUUAUUUUCCCAUCUUUUUCAUUUGAUACUGAUUGAGAGAACCACAGUUCGAAAGAGCUGCUAAUGAAGGAUCCUGAGGCUGCCACAAAGUUGUUGGAAGAAGUAGAGUUCCAGGUUGCAGAUCAGGACGUAUCGGGCAAGAUUAGCGCUGAAAAUGAGCAGCUCAAGGUGAAGAUGUUAGAUUUACAUUGUGAUGUACUACUUAAUAGAUGCUCUUCUUGAAUUUCAAUAAUUACCAGAAAUUGUGGUCGGGACCAGUUUUCUUGCUGCUUCUAAUUUUCUUAUCUUGUUUACUUUUUUCUUUCAUAGGAUUAUAAAUCCAGGAUUGCAGUCUCGAUGUGUGAUUAUCAUAAUUCAGUAAUUGAACUAGCUUUUAACAUGCUUAUUAUAUAUGUUGCAGGUUCUUGUUAGUUCAUUGGAAAAGAAAAUUGAUGAAACAGAGAAAAAAUAUGAGGAAACAAGCAAAAUAAGUGAGGAGCGAUUGAAGCAAGCUCUGGAUGCAGAGGCUAAGAUAAUUGAGUUGAAGCUUAAUAUGCAAAGGUUGAAAAGUUUUUCAUAUAUGGCUUGGUUUCUUCAACAGCUCUGGCCUCUUAUCUUAUUUGUUCUUUUCAAAAUAUGGUUUUGUAUGUCAUUUAAAUAUGGUAGCUGUUAGUCUUAAGCUGGAACUGAAUCAGUAUUUUAUCGUCGUACCCAUACCUAUGUCACAACAUGUGGAUCAAGCUUGAAAAAUGCUUGUUAUAUCAAUCAGCUGUUAAGUUCAAAUUGGUAACUACAGACAUUAACGAAGAACCAAAUCAUAGAUUGCCUAUGAUUUGCAUUGAAUAUGACAGCUGGUUUACUUGGGGUUCAUGAAUAUCAAUAGCCAGUGUUCUUGAGAGGUUUUUUAGCUUUUGUAAAGAUUUGAACUUUUUGGGUAAAAAUUCAAAUUGUAGUUUAACCUAGUCAAAUCUGUUCGACUAAAGCAGAUGACGGAUCCAUGUAUAUUGCUUCUGUGUGUUCUCCAAUAUUUCUUUUAUAGCUUCUCUUCUUCUUAGAGCAAAAUUUCAACAUAAUCCAUCAUAUUUGUACAAGUUAAAUUACAGGAUUCUUUAUCAUGUGAAAUAAGUUAGUUUGAAUAUCUUUUUUAACUUAACAUUUGUAUCUCAGGCUUGAAGAGAAACUUUCGGAUAUAGAAGACCAGCAGAUUCUUCGACAGCAAGCGUUAAAUUUACCAACUGGAAGAACUUCAAGUCGUUUUGCAGUAAAAACUCUGCCUCUGAUGCCAUAGAAAUGCCAAUCUUUUUUUCAUAGCUUUCUUGUGCGUUUCCUCACUUUUUUAAAACUUUUUUCUGUUUUCCUCCUGCAGACUUCUGAAAACGGUCAUCAUGUAAGUGAAGGAUUCACCUAUUUAGUGCUUUGUUAUAUACUUCCUCUUUCCCAAUGUAUGAUACUCUUGUCAUUUUAGUACAUCCCAAAACGUUCGACACCAUUCCAUUUCUGAACAACUUUCACUACUUUUAAGAAUUCAAAUUCAUUUAAGUGUUCAAGUUUUAAAUAUUGAGAUGAUGUUUUCUCUAUCAAACUAACAUUUUAAAUAAUACUCUAAUGUUUUCUUACACUAUCACUAGUAUAACAUAUAAGUUAAAUUAACAUCUUAAAUACUGUGUGCACUCGAAUAGUCAUAUAAACUGGGAUGAAGGGAGUAACAGUCAUGUUGGUGCUUUGCAUAAUGUCUGUUCUGACAUGAUGACCGUUUUCAGGAACCACUGGCUGCAGUACCAUCAAGAAGGUUUGGUACAGAUUCAAUGAGGAGAUCCAAUGCGGGAGCAACAAAAUGGUUUGGUACAGAGUCUAUGAGGAGAUCCAUGGCUGAUAGGCAGCGGGUAUGUACCCAGGAAGUGAUUAAAUAUUUUUCAAUCAGAUUUCUUUUUCUGUUUGCCAUCUUUCUCCGAUUUCGCACUUUUUGGGAAUAUAUGGAACAAGAUAUCUUAAAAUUGGAGUUCCUAAAACAUGCUAUACAAACAUUUAUUUUAAAAGGCUUGUGGUUUGAACUCUAUUGUAUGAGUGAGAUUCACAGAUACCGAGUUGAUGGCUUAGUCAAAAUCUUUCCCGAAAGAAAACCAGGAUUAAACAUUAUCUUUGAUUUAAUGAGAAGUGGGGAAAAGAUAAGGCUGAUUGAAUUUCUUUUCUCUGAUGUCGCUAAGAGGUUGAUACAGCUGAACUUUUUCCUUUUCUGGUGGGGGAUGGGCGUUCAAACCCUUCCAAUUUUAUAUUUCUUCUUCCUUAUCUUCACCCUCAUUCCUGUAUUAUACCUUGUACUUCCUUGUUCACUGUCUAUAAUGAACAAAUAAAGAGUGCUGAUACACUCCAAACUUCUCUUGAUGCAUCUUGAAAACUACCUUCCUUAGCUUUUUCUUUCUCAGAAGUUAUGUUAUACCUAUAAAAAAGAGAAAAUCUACUGCAGAAGAUAGUAUCGGAAGGACAUAGCUGCAUAUGUUUAUCGAUGGAGUUCCCUUUUAAUCCUAAACCCUGGGCAGAAUGCUUUUUAAUUUUUUUUUUGAUACCGAGAAAUCCAACUGUAGCCAACCUUUAGGACUAGCCGCUACCUUGGAAACUCAGGGAUAAUAGGACUUCCCCUCUACCCUUAUCAACUUGAGUAUUAGGCUUAGUUAUCUUGGCGUCAGGCUUGAACUUGUGACCCAUGCCUCAAAUUGCUGUACCUUUUCCAAGUGAGCUAAUCCUUGGGGACUGAAUCAAAUGAUUUUAUGUGUGUAUGCAAUGCUUAAAGAUGUAGACAUGCAUAUACUGUUCUGCAUGAGUACAAAAACAUUGAGUUGUUUUUCUAAUUUCGUGUUACUAGUUUUUGAGAAGUUUUAUUCACAGCGGCAUAAUACAUCAGCACAGUAAAUAUUCCUCCACUUUAUUGUUGUAUGAAUGUGGUGAUCCCGUGGCUACUAAUUCUAAUAUCUUCUUUAACAUUAUGUUGCAGGAGAGUGUGGAUAUUCUUAUCAAAUGUGUCAGUCAAGAUCUAGGGUUCAGUGAAGGGAAACCAGUGGCAGCAUUUACCAUAUACAAAUGCCUACUUAAUUGGAAUUCCUUUGAAGCAGAAAAAACUAACGUGUUCGAUCGUCUUAUUCAGAUGAUUGGUUCUGCGAUAGAGGUAACUUUCAAUAUCAUGUCGAAAUCAGCGAUCAUGUUGUAUUGUUCGUAGGAGUUCAUGAGUCAUAACAUAAGUGUAAUACACAUACUAGCCUGUAUUAUACUGCUAUGUCAAAAAUGCUGUCUCUCUAACUCAAUGACAAACAUAUAUACUCAUUUUAUAUCAAUUUCAGGAUGAGACAAACAAUAAUCACAUGGCGUAUUGGCUGUCCAACAGUGCAACUUUGUUGUUUUUACUUCAGCAUACACUGAAAACUACUGAUUCAGCUCCAAGUAGACCGCCCCAACCAACAUCAUUUUUUGGUAGAAUGGCACAGGUACUUGAUUCUUUCUUUCAUCUCUAUUAUUAAAUGUGCUCCUAAAGCUAUUGAAUUGAAGUUUCUGUUGGCUAUACAUUUUGCAGUAUUACUUUGUGUAUUUGAAAGCACUUCUAUAGAAAGUUUCUGCAGCUAUUAUUUGAGUUCCCUGUUACUUAACAAAAUUGAACAUGUCUCUGAUGCUACUAUUGAUGUUGAAGAUCUGAGGUGGAAAAUAGAAAACAGAGAGAAAUAACUGUAUUGAUAUGUGUCAUAAACUGUUUCAUAAGUAGAAGAAAACUAGGAACACAAUAUACAAAAUACGGUGGUGCAUUUAUUGGACUGCUAUGUAUUAAGUUGGAACCAGUCCUUGACGACCGAACACGUCCAUCAAACUCAUAAUGGUGAACUCACUUGAGGUUGAAAAGUAAUAGUGUAAGAUCCUUGUCUGUCUAGUGUGUGAUGGAAGGCUGAAGCAUGCUCUUAGUAGUUGUUAAAGAUAGAUUGCGGAACAAGCAGAGAUUGGAACAUAGUUCCUUUAUGUAUAUUUUGGAUGAUUCGAAUUGAAAUCAAAUAUCAAUGUUUUGUGGGAACAAAGCAUACUUCAUAAUUGAAGUUUAGAUAUCUUCAAAAUAAAAAAGAAACUGAUGGAAAGGAAGAGGAGGAAGUGAAGCUGGAGCAGAUGGAAACUACAAUAACAACAUACCCAGUGUAAUCCCACAAGUGGGGUCUGGGGAGAGUAGGAUGUACUCGGACCUUACCCCUACCUUUUUGAGGUAGAGAGGUUGUUUCCGAUUGACCCUCGGCGUAGAAGAAUUGCAAGAAUAAUAUAACAACAAAAUAGCAACACCAAAGCAAAAAGAGAUUCACAUAAUAUUAAAGAAGCAUAUAAAUCAAAUAAGAUGACAGACUGAACAUAUGGCUAACAGAUCGAGAUACAAAUCAGUCGAAAUCAUUCACCAUACAAGAAAGAUAAACGAUGGAGUAGUGUCCCAAGACCUUUAUAUAAAUCCCCUUGGAAGUCCUUACAUAACCUAUGCGAGACAACAAACAAAUCAACAUCCUUUUGCACAUUUAACCCAAUACUUGGAGUUCAGUGAUCUGUAUUACUGACUUACCAAUGGCAAAUAGGUUUGUCAAAGGUUGACUCUGAUAGCAUGUCAAAGAAGAUGAGCUUCCAACCUAAUACAUCAAGGCCAUGAGUGGAGUAGUCCAAGACCCUUAUAAACCUUUGAGAGCCCUUACAGAACCGAUGUCAGACAAUCAGAAGAUUUCAGAAGGCAGAGUCGGUAGAAGUUAGGAGGGAUAAUUUUCUAUAGUUCAUGAACUAAUUGUAUAUAUAUUCUGUGCGCUGAUCUGAAAAUGGUACCAUGCUUAAUAUCUGUGAUGAAGAGGAAGUGAAUUAGAUGUAACACCGCACCAGUAGGCGGAAAUAAUUUUCAAAUUCUCAUACAGAUUGAAUUGGAUCAUAUAGAGUGAUGAAGAUCUGAAUGACGGGGAAGGAAUAAGGAGAACUAGCCAUAUUGAUUCUAACUUUAUUAAUAUGAUAUACAAUAUUCACUUAUAUAUAGGUGUGAUGCACUAUGUAAGAUACAAUCCUGCAUUUAUUUCACCAUUGAUUUACUUUUUAGGUGACCUCCUGUGUCCUAACUUUCUAGUAGUUUUUCUACUCUUAUCCUGCGAAUUUCCAAGAUAGACCAUGUAACUGUUACUUGUUUACAGCUGCAUUGGUUGGACAUUAGUAAAUCUCUCUCUGUAUAAAACAUACUAGUAGCCUAGAAUGAGGUAUAUGCAGGUUAUUUAAAACAGAAUUCCAACACAUUUCUUCAGAAAAUUUAUUGAUUAAAUGAUUGUACUUCUUUUCUAGAGUUUCCGGUCUUCAUCUGUCAACCUUGCAAUUGGUGGUCUCGACACUGUACGUCAGGUUGAGGCAAAGCAGCCAGCUUUACUUUUUAAGCUACAGCUCAGUGCUUAUGUCGAAAAGAUUUAUGGAAUUGUUCGAGAUAACUGGAAAAGAGACCUGUCUUCACUGCUGACUUCAUGUAUCCAGGUAAAUCACCAUGUUUUCUAGAAGUUCUAUGAGGAUGUUUUAUAUAUAUGUGUAUGUUCUGUACAUAUAUGUAUGUAUUCUGAACAAUAUGAAUAAUAUCAUUUGAUGCUUGUUAAUAAAAGAAUAUCUCUCAAGUAAGUCCUCUUCUCAAAUGGCACUUCUCCCUAGCUCACAAGGACUAACUGCACCAUAUUCACUGUUGCUUUCAUUAGGAUUCUGGUUUAUCUUGAUUUCAUGGCCCUUUCAAAAAAAUUCUGUUGGAUCUCAAAAUUGUGAUAAGCCGUUGUGCUUGUAACUUAAUUGUAUUUUGACUCAAAACUUCUUCGGGUUAUGGUCUUUGUACUUCAUAUAUUCAAACUUCUAAUUAUACUUGCACUUCCCAUCUUAAUUAGGCAUCUCAAGCAUCAAAAGGUGGAUCCUUGCAAUCACCACGGAAGUCCGUUGAUGGUUCUUCUCCACCCACUCCCUGGGAUGGAGUAAUUGAGAGCCUAAAUGGGCUUCUCAGUACACUGAAAGAAAACUGUGUAAGUUUCAUUGUAGGAAACAGUGUGAUGUGCUAAUAUUACUAAAACUGAUGAGUGGACUUGUGAAAUUUUUCAGGUUCAUCCAGUUUUCGUCCAGAGAAUUCUAAACCAGAUAUUCUCUUACAUAAAUGUUCAGCUGUUCAAUAGGUACAUUCUUUUCGUAUCUCAUAGCAGGAAGAUUAGAAAGAAACUCAUAGAUACUCCACUUACCAUUCUAUUUAAUCAUCAUUGCAGCCUUCUCCUUCAAAGAGAGUGUUGUACAUUCAGCAGCGGGGAGUAUGUGAAAGCUGGAUUGCAAGAAAUAGAACUUUGGUGCGGCAAUAUGAAAGAAGAGGUACUGUAUCAUUAGUACUGUAAGGGUACAUUGUUCGUAGAUUAAUAUAUAUGAACUGUAUUUACAUAUAAUUUAUCUUUUCCUUUCGCAGUACGUUGGUUCUUCUUUGGAUGAAUUAAAGCAUGCAAGGCAGGCAGUAGGAUUUUUGGUAUGUUUCUCCAAUGAACCUUUUUUUUUUUUUGGAAAAAUGUCGCUCUGCUUCAUAGCCUAAUAAUGCUCGUCUUACAUUUAAGUAUGAUUUUACGGGAACUCUUUUCUGUUACUUGCAAGUGACACCACAUAUAUGGAUAUUUAACUCCCAUUUUGAGAUUAUCUAUCACCGAACCCCUUCCAUAUAUUUUUCCCUAUCUAAAUAGCUCCUUUACAGGUUAUUAAUCAGAAGUCAAGACUUACAUCUGAAGAUCUAACAACUGAUCUCUGUCCCGUAAGUUCAUCUUCGUAGUCUUCUUAGUUGUACUUAAUUUAGAGAUUCCAAAUAUUGAUAAUACAUGGCGGUUCCAGGCUGCCACUUCUGGAAGUCGUGUUCCUUUGUUAGUUAUUUGAGUGCUAAAACAAAGAAUCCUAUUGGAGAAUUUUAUGAAGUGUAUAUAGAUCGACAGGGACUUAACCGAAUUAUUUAUGGUGUUAAAAUAUUGAAGUUAAUUUUCAUGCUACGAUACGAGUCCUUGACAUUUAUCUUGUCACAUUUGUGCAUCUGUCACUGAAUGUCUUUUUUCUGUUGGGAUCAUCUUUUCAGAUUCUGAGUAGUCAACAGUUGUAUCGGAUAUGUACACUUUACUGGGACGAAGAUUUUAAUACUCAAGGUGUAUCCCCAGAGGUAAGUCCUCCUUUCUUCAUUUAUUUUAUUUCACUCAAUGUCUUCUAUUGAUUAUGUGUAUAAGGAAUGCUCCUUCGAGACGAUCUGUUAGUCGACUAAUGUAUAUCAAUAUAAGAUAUUGGUUUGCAUCCUCCAACUGUUUGUCUUUCUGAUUAUUUUCUUCUUUCGGGGACGCUAAACCUUAGCUUUAACGUUUCCCCCUCUCUCUCUCAAUGGCAAAUUUUAACUGAACUUUUCUGCAUUUGGAUCCUAAACCAUACUGCUCGGAACAGGUCAUUUCCAGUUUUAAGGAUCAAGAAAAAGAAGACGCAAAGAAUGCAGAUAAUGCAAAUGAUGCAGAUAACAACUUUAUAUUGGAUGAUAAUUCCAGGUACUUCAUUAAUCUCAUUUGCUAUCAAAAUCUAUGUUGCUCGGACUCUUCAAAAAUACUGACAGGUGCAUGUUGUAUCCUCCAAAAGUAGUGCAUUUUUUGAGAGUCCGAGCAACAUAAGGUCAAAAUGACAAUAGAUCCUAUUCUAUCAUUCAUCUAUUUGCUACCAAUGCAGCAUUCCAAUCUCUGUUGAGGAGAUUAACAGUUCCCUCAAGGACGUUGAUUUCACCGGUGUAAAACCUGCAAAUGAACUGCUUGAAAAUGCAGCCUUCCAAUUUUUACGCGAAUAAGGCUGAGUUUUCUCCAGCAUGAAAUGCAUGUUUUGUUGGAACGACGUUGUCCAAGUCUCCACGCCAUGAAUACCAACUAUUGUACAUCCAUCAACCUAUUCAUUUUCCUUCCAGACGCGUCUGUUCGUUAUACUGUAACAUCCAAUGCCCCUUGUAAAGUUGCUCAAAAUGUAGUCUUCUUGUAAAAUUGUAGGUCUAGUUUUAGAUAGGAGAAAAGGGGGGAUAAAAGUGAGGAAAUUUUCCAACUUAGAGCUUGUUCCAUUUAGUCUUUUUGUCAUUCAUUUUAGAGUUGUCAUUAGCUAGAUUUUUUGUAACAAGGACUAAUUGGAGUACAAUAUUAUUGUAAAGAGCAAAAAUGGCCAAUUCAGUGUCUCUUUUUUCCCUCUCUUUUCAUUCAAAAUUAUCAUUUCAUACACGAGUCCCAGACUCAACUUGUGAAAUUACACUGAGUAUAUUGUUAUUUUUACACGAGUACGCGAUUUAAGUGGCAAAUUACUAUUACCUCCUUUCCAUUAUAUUAGUUGCAACAUUAGCCAGUGUUGAGAGAUCUCUUGAAAGUCAUCUUUUUUUUGCAUAUGGACACCUAGUAGAGGCUAUAUAGUAAAGAUUCCUAUAUGAAAUUCUUUUUACUCCCCAAAAGAGGGAGACAUGCGACAGAGGCGUAUCAAGGAUUUCGAAAUGAUGAAUGCACUAUUAUGAGAAGGUGGAUUUAAACGAUUUGACAUUUAGGUUCUUAUCAUUGAAAACAAUUGAAAAUAUUAAAUUAUAGGUCCAAAAAUUGAAAUGCUUGAUUAAUUAAAACGCUAAAAGUACUAUCAAUAACCACUUAGAGAGGUUUAUCCAAUUUUAGAAAGGAAAUGAAGAUAGAUAUAAAUUUCAAAGGGAAAAGGGUCUGAUAUACCCCUCAACUUUGUCAUUUGGAGCUGAUACAUCCCUCGUUAUGAAAGUGGCUCAUAUAUGCCCUUACCGUUAUACAAAUGGCUCACAUAUACACCUACCGUUACAAAAUGGCUCACAUAUACCCUUCAUUUGACGAAAGUUAAAUAAUUAGUUUUAAAUUUAUAUUUAUUACUUAUAAUUUUUAAAAAAAAAUUAUUUAGUGGUACAUAUGAUUCUUCUAUAAAAGUUCAAGGUAUAUUUUUUAAUUUUUUUCAUACAUAAAUUAUUUUUUGACUUCUUUUAUUAUAAUUAUUUGAGUUUCUUAUCCUUAUUUUGUUUUUUUCUUUCAUUCCUUAGUUUAAAGAAAAAAAAUUAAACUAUUGUUUUGUGUGUAUUGUAAUUUAAUUUCGUAUUCGGAAAAAAUUUGGUCAUCUACAAUAAGUUUUACAAGAAUAUUAGUGAAACAUAAAUAAAUUUGAUUAUCAAAAUAAUAAUUAUAAAUUAGUCAUUGAAACAAAAAAAAAGUCAAAAAAAAAUAUGUUUGACGAGGAUUUAUUUUACUCAUAUGGAAUUAUAUUUUUUAGAAAAAAAUAAUAAAAAUUUAGAUUGAAAAUUAUUAUUUUUUCAUUUCCGUUAGAGGAAAAGGGUAUGUGUGAGUCAUUUGUUUACAAGUAGGGGUAUAUAUGAGCCACUUUCAUAACAAGUGGUAUAUCAGCUCUAAAUGACAAAGUUGAGAGGUAUAUCAGACCUUUUUCCCAAUUUCAAAUUUCUACCCUCACUAAUAGGUGCACCUAAUCAUAGUUGCAUUAUAUGAUACUCCGAGUGUGGAUUUACACAUCUAAAUACAAAAAAUUAAAAAUAUAACACUAUUAUAUAUGAUUUUGGGAACGCGGUGACCCCCUCCUCAUACACCUCUGUGCCGAUAUAUACAGUUUGCCCAAAUAUGGUUGAGAUAUACAAAAUCUAUACAUUGAUAAUGUAUAUUAUAUGUAUAUGAUACUAAUAUAUACGAAUUAUAUACAUUUUUUCUGGCUAUUUUGUAAAUUAGAUCGCCUAAAGACGUUGAACUCUAACUAUUAUCUCAUAAAGCUCAAAGAAAUGGGCUUACAUUUGAGAAGACUACUUGGGAUUGGGCUCAGUGUGAGAUUGGGCUUAAUGUAUUGGGCUUCAUUUCUGUUGCUAUUGGACUGAACACAAUCCAAACAUAAGCCCAAUAAAACAACACCUCAUUUGUGUUUGGUAAGAUAUUACACGCAACGACGACGUUAAAAAUGGAUAGUCUUGAACUUUUGACCCGCACUUUUUCCUAUGAGCAAACCUUCAAGAUCGGAAGUCAAAAGUUUAGCCAUUGACCUAACGCCAACGAGGUAAAAAAAUUCAACAUCGCUCAUUUCACUGUCAUUACUUGUGAAUCUUCCGUUCUUUGUUUAUUUGUAUCAGAAAAUAUUUCGAUUCAAUAAUUUCAUUGUCGGAAAUGGGACAUGCUUAAAAUUUCAUAAAAUACAAUGAUUUUUUUUCCAAUUCUCUAAGCUUAUCUCGAUUUAUAGGGAGAAAGUCGAAACACAAUAAAAUCAAUAGACCCGCUAUCUAAUCACCUAUUAAGAAUAUUCUUUAAUAAAUCAUCAUUUGGUAUGAUUAAUGCAUGAUCACCAUUUAUGAAUUAAUUAUCAUAAUAUUAAUUAACACAGUACUUAACUUAAUUUUUUUUAUGAUUUUGUUGUGUAUUUAUGUGGUCCUAAAAUGGCUUGGGAUUUCAUUAUGAGAUUUGUUUGUCUAAUAAUUAUGAAUAUUUAAUAUAAUUUUUCAUCAUAUAACUUUCAAUAAUUCCCACUGAGCAUGUCAAUUAUACAUGAUUAACUUCUUCAAACUUCUAAUAUAUAUCUCAAAAUUUAAUAAAAAACUAAUUUAUAAAGCAUGGAAGGUGAAUACAAAAAUCUAUUAGAAAUUCAACCGUUUAUAUAAUAACAAUAUAUUCAAUAUAAUUCUGCAGGUGAGAUCUAAUAAACUUAGAAUGUAUGCAUAUUUUAUCUCCGCGACCUAUUUAUCUGCUCAAAUUCGAUAAUCACAUCACAUUAAAAAAUCAAAAUAAAUUAAUUCCAAAUGGGAUAAUUUGUCACAAUUAUUAAUCUUAAUUAAUUUAACUUUAGCUGCAAAUGCCAUGUUAAAUUUUGUUAAGAAAUCCAUUGACUAAUUAAUUUAAUUUUAGUAAUGAUCUAAAAGAUUAACUAUUCUUAGGGUCAUGUGUAAUCACAUGAAUUUCCAUGUUUUCUAAUUGAUUCCUUUAAUAUCUUUAAUUAAUUUGACUUAUCACAUGAUAUAAAUAUAUCAAAUAUUUUAAUGGGUUUUCAGUUAUUACAGUUAUGGAGUUAGUUGCAUUAAAAUCAUAUAAUUUUAUAGUACAAUCACACAACUGAAUAUAAGAAAUUUUUUAUUAACUUUUUUUUUUGUUAAUAGCACUUUUGGUCCUUCAAUUAUUAAUAAAUUCUAAUUUUGAUCCUUGUUAUAUUUGACUCAACACAUUUGAUAUUUAACUGAUUGAUAUGUGUCUUUGAUUCCUUUAAAUAUUCAUAAAUAUAUCAUAAAUAUUAGCCGUUCCACGAAUUAAUUAAUUAUCAGUGCGUUAUGUUAAGCUUGUAUUGUUACUCUAUAUUUAACGAUAAUAUAAUUCUUUCUUGCCUAAUAGGACUAAAACAUACAUUUCGAUUUAUUGAUGGUUAAAUGUACAAUGACCGCACUCAAAAAUCUAACUGAACACAUUUAACCUUCAAUAAUUGAAAUGUGCAAUUUUUUUCUAUCAUGUUGCUUGUUAAUAUUCACAAAUAAUUCAUCGUAAUUAUUAAUCGUUCCACCAUUUAAUUAUUCACGUGCUGUGUUAAAACUUUUACUCUUAUUAGUCCAUACUUCUUACAUACACUGGCUAAAAAAUACAUUUCAAUUAAUUAAAAGUUAUAACAUAUGCUUCGUCAGAUAUCUCAAAGAAUCGAAAUCAAAAUAUACUUAUAAUUUGAGGACACAAUUAUAUUAUCCCCACUUAUUUAUUUAUUUAUUUAUUGUGGGACAAAAUGUUCUUGGGAAAUUAAAUUGAAUCUAAACUUGAGAGUUUAUUUAGGUUCUUUGGAUUGAGUCAUAUUAUUGAUUAAUUAUUAAUUAAAAGGAUCUGUGAAAACUUUGUCCUUUGAACAUGAAAUCUAGAAAUGGCUUCACAACAAAGUUAAAAAAAUCUAACAUCUUAAUUCAAUGAACUAUUAAGAGAUUUAAGACAUUAUGAUGAGACCAAAAAUAUAAAAAGUACUUUUCCCAAGAAAGGAAAAAAAUGAUUGAAGAACAAGUUAUUAUAAUAUGGUCUUGUUUACUAGCAUUUAUGACAAAAUUGUAUUUAAUGGACUAUGUAAUUUGUGAGAAAAAAGGAAAAAAAUGAUUGAAAAUGCAUUAAGCAAAAGAUGUAAAAUUAUUACGAUAUAAUUGCCUAGCUUACAAGUGAUAUUGUCUAUUCUGGAUAGUUACGAAUAGUAUAAGAAUCAAUUUUAUGUCAGUUUUGUCGAUGUAGAGUUCAACUAAGUGAGAACUACUUUAAAAUUAUUUUUGUUAUUAUCCGGCUUAUAAAUAACAUUAUCUAUUUUAAAUCGUUAUGAAUGAUAUUAGAGGCAAUAAUUUGUUUUGAAUAAUGGCAAACGUGGUAUAUCUCAAACUUACGUUUUUGAUCGUCAAUUUCAAAUAAUGUACCAAGAUUUUAAUUACUCUUUUAUUAAAUAAUAAAUUCAUCCUAAUUAGCCUUUAUAGGUGUCAUCUGUCAACCAUGAAAAUUCAGUAUUUACACAGAUUAAAUAAAUACAUGACAUAUUUUUUCAUAAUACAUAUAUACAUAUCACUAAAUCAUAUGUUAAUAUUUAACAUGUGUGUCACUAUAAUAAAAAUAACUUUUAGCAGCAAUAAAUAUUAAUAUUAAUGUAGAGUGUUAUAGUCUUUACCAGCAUUAGUUAAAUGUCAUUAGAUUCAAUUUCGAUAAAUAUUUUAGGAAUAUAUACAAAGAGUACUAUUAAAUAAUUACCGCUAAAAAUACAUAUUUAACAUCAAUUAAGAAUUAAUUGCCGCUAAUUUUUUAAUAUAGUGUGUGUGUCUUAACAUUUAAUUAACUUAAAUUAUGAUAAAUUAGUAUGAUUUGAUAUAGACGUCAAAUACAUGUAAAUUUUAUCAUAAAUUACAAUUAAAAGACCGUUUAGUCGAAUAUUAUAAAUAACUUUUCUGAUAGCAAACAUUUUAUUCAGUAGUUUUUUUCGAUGCAAAUUCAAUUUAAUCAGAACGAUGACAUUAUAUAACGUACGGAUACUUAUUUAAAGAAAAACAAUAGCGAGAAAAAAACAAACAAGACAUUAAUCUAAUAUGUAUAGUAUUUAAACACAAGUUGCGCCUGAAGUCAUUAAGUCGAUAUUAUUUUCUAAGUAAUGUUCUUAUCUUUUCAUUAUUCAUCAAAACAACAUAAGAUGUACACACAAAGAAAACAUCAAAAUUGAGGACAACAUGAAGAUCUUAAGGGAAGUUGGUAAAAACAAGAAAAGAUUUUUGAGUAUUCCCUAGAUAAUUGCUUAACAUAAUUAUUGAUAGAGUUUAUAGACAUUAAUUUGACUUAAUAGAAAAACAAGUCUUCAUUCAUUCAAAUUCAAAUAUCAAUUGACCUCAUUAACUGAAUCUAAUUAUUGGAAAAACUGCCUCAAUUGAAUGUGCAAAGAAUGAUUCAUAACUAAUAUUAACUAAUUAAUUAUGUGCUCUUACACAUGCACUUCUUUUUGAAUUACUCAGGUCCGAUUAAAUCUGAAUUCACGCAUUAUAACAUGUUCAUUUCUAAGAGAUAAUACUUUUAAUAUGGUUUUUUUCUUUCGUGUCCAAAAUCUCAAAUCUAAAACCUCUGUGAGUAAAAAUACGUUAAAUCAUUCCGCCACAAUCCAGAUUAGUUAGACAUGCACUUAAUUAAUUCCAUGGUCAAUGCCAUUCAUAAGUGUAUCAAGUUUUAAUUUAUUGUUUUGAAUUAGUGAGGUUCAAUUGAAUCUGAAUUCACGCAUUAUAACAUAUUUAUUUCUGGAAGAUAAUACUCUCAACACAGUUUUUUUUUAUAUCCAAAAUCUCAAAUCUAAAACCUUUAUGAGUAAAAAUACGUUAAAUCAUUCCACCACAAUCCAGAUUAGUUAGACAUGAACUUAAUUAAUUCCAUGGUCAAUGCCAAUCAUAAGUGUAUCAAGUUUUAAUUUAUUGUCUUUUUUUCCCCUCUCUUUCUUGUGUCUUUUGACCAUGGCUUCUAUAAUUAGAACAUGACAAAUGAUUUAGGUACCAACUUGUGUUUGUUAAUUCUCAAAUCACAUGAUUAAUUAAUAUAAGAAUAGAUUAAGCUUAUUUAAUAUGUUAAAUCCAAUUUACUUAGUUUUUUUUUAAAAAAAAAUUAAUGUUGGGUAGGGCUACACCAUGGAAAAAAGGAAAUGAUUAUUGGUAGUUGUGCAUAAACAUAUGAAUAUAAAAAGUGGUAGAGAAUCUGAUGCAUGUUCUAAAGCUACUUAUAAGCAUGUAAUUAAACAAUAAAUAUAUAUUAAUCAGAUCAAAGGCGUAUUUAGAAUUUAAAGUUUAUAGGAUUUAGAUUUAAAAUUCUAUCGCGACUUAUCUGCUCCUAUAAUUUAGUGGUUUUGAAUUCAAUUAUUUGUAUUUAUUUAAUGUACUUUAACACGUAAAAAAAGCGAAUCAAAUUAAGUUAUUAAAUUCAUCGAAACAUGUAUAUAUCUCACCUUCUAAAUUCGCGCUUGUUUAGGUCUAGUUAUAAACAAAUCAAUUGUUUUAUUGGUUUGCUUUGUCUCAAGAAUCUUGAUCAAUUGCCUCAAAACAAACAUCGAUCGAUCUCAAUAAUUCAUAAAUUAAAUAUUCAGAGGUGAAUUCUGGAUAUAAAUUUUAUUCAGGAGGUAAUUAUAUUAUAGUAAGCUUAUGGCAUAUAUUAAUGUCUAGUUUGUCCAUGUGAACUUGUGUCAUGUCUCGUAAAUCUCUUUCUGCUUACAUUCCAAUAUGAAAUUUGCCUAAUUAAAUGUCUUUACCCCUAUUUUUUCCUAAUUUACUGAUUUUCGAUAAUCCUUGAUUUUAUACGAUCAAAUUUUUAUUAUUUAGUGACAUAAUAUACUCCACGCUAACUUAUUUUCUCCAUUUUUUUGUAAUAUUACGAGAUAUUAGAAAUGUAAUUGAACCUUCCUAUUUAUGACUUUUGUUAGUAAUUUUAAAAUUCAAUUAUUAGUAAUAUCUACUAUAGAGUUGACUUUUUUUUUCUAUUGAAUAAUUAAGGGGUCAAAGUGCUUUAAUUUUGACUCUACGUGGAAACAUCAUAAAACAAAAUUUUACUAAUUAAGUAGUAUUAAAAAUUGAUCAACGCGUUUGCUUCUUUAUAUCAAGCAAAAAUAAUAAAAUGUUGCCUAAAACAGAAAGUAGGAUUUAUAAGAUCUUUUACUAUUUUAUAUAUUUAUAAAAGUGGUUAAAUACAUUAAAUAAAUGAAAUUAUCUUUACAUUGAUUGAAUUAAAGAAGCAAUGUGAAUAGAAGAUUUAUGAACAUUCUAUGUGCUUUCUAAUUUUGAAAAGUUGCAAUAUUUAGGCAUAGGAAAAAUUCCAUUUCUAGGGGACGGUGGCACUUUGUUUUUACGGUGUUCGAGUUUUUUCACGUAUUUUGAUUAAUUUUUAUGUAUUAAUUUAAUAUUUAAGUUUUUAUUAUUUCGUUUUUGUUUGAUGAUUGAAAUUUGCUUUGAAGUUUGAUUUAUUUUGAUCCAUAUUAAAAAAUUCAGUUUUUGAAGGUAAUACAUUCAUAUCUAAGUCGACUAUAUAAUACUCACAACAUCUUGGGGCCUAUUAAUUUGCAUUAUCGCGCCAAGAAGUCCCACUUAAAGUGACUUCAUAAUCAUGUCAUUUUAGAGUCUGAUGAAUCUAGAUUUACAUCAAAAAAUUUAACUUUUAAAGAUAGCUCUUUAUCAAAAAUAAUUUCAUACUUAAUACAUAAAUUUAAAAUUUUUACUUAAAAUUAAAAAAAUAUUUAUCAUUAUAUCCAUUGUCAUCCAAGUUUUCUUCAAAAGAUAUGAUAAGUCAAAAAUAGGGAAAAUAUCCAAGUACCCCCUCAACCUAUGCCCGAAAUCCCAGAGACACACUUAUACUAUACUAAGGUCCUAUUACCCCUUGAACUUAUUUUAUAUGUAAUUUUCUACCCCUUUUUAGCCUACGUGGCACUAGUUCGAAAAAAAAGUCAACCAUCGUUGGGCCUACAAGAUAGUGCCACGUAAGCUAAAAAGAGAUCAAAAAUUAUUAAUAAAAUAAGUUCAGGGGGGUAAUAGGACCUUAGUAUAGUAUAAGUGUGUCUCUGAGAUUUCGGGCAUAGGUUGAGGGGAUACUUGGACAUUAUCCCUCAAAAAUAAGUAAAAGUUGUACAUAUAAUGCUUGUCAGAGGGUCGGAUUCACUAAGGGAAGGCUUUAACUUAUUUAAUUGCUUAUAUUAAAUUUUGAUUGAUUUAAAUUUAUAUAUUUAAAUUCGAUUAAAAGAAAGUGUUGUUUUAAGAAUAAAAUUCAUCCUUACGCUUUGAGCCUUAGACCUUUAAUUAAGGAAGAAUGAAAUCAAAUUUCGACAAUAAAAAUUUAUAUGAUAGAAAAAAUAUAAGAUCUUUUACUAAAAUUAUUUUCAGAUCAAUAAUUUUGUCAAGCCGUCUCAACAUUAAUAUUAUUUAGGAUAUAUAAAUUAGUUGUCAUGAUAAAUUAAGUUAUAACUGCGAUACUCUUCUUUCAUUUCAUUAAGAAAAUAUUAAGCAAGAAAUCAUCAAAAUUAUUUUAUAUCGUCAAUUUUAUCUUCUUUCAUUUCAUUAAGAAAAUAUUAAGCAAGAAAUCAUCAAAAUUAUUUUAUAUCGUCAAUUUUAUUGAGCCGUCCUGAAUAAAUAUAAUUUAGGAAAUAAAAAGUUGUCAUAAUAAUUUUAAAAAUGAUGAUGUUACUCUUCUUCCAAAGCCCUUGGAAUUAUCUAAACACAAUAAGAACAAACACUAACUUGUUAUUUUUUGCAUGAAAAGAAUAGAUUUCUUUGUUACCUAAGGUUCCAUGCACAUGCAACUCUUCUUUCCCCCACAACAUUUUUAUCUCUUUUAUUAUAUUUUAUUCAUAUAACCUAUGAUAAUGAUACGUAUUCGUUUACAUAUAUGCUUUGUCCCGUUUGAUUUUAUAUGACAUUCUUUUCAAAUUCAUGUUAGAAUGAAUGAUCUCUUUUUUUAACAUUAAUUAAUUUAUAUAUUCAUACGCCUGACGACUUAUUGAUAAUUAUAUUGUAUAUAUAAUUAAAAUGAUAUAUGAAAUGAUUAAAUAAUAUAUUUUAAAUAUUCUUAACUCAAUGAGUUAUUGUAGUUCAGUGAUUAUAUCUCUUUUGAAUCAGGUAGUACUCGUGUGAUUAAAUCUCACUAAUUCUAUUUUUUGAAGCAAAGCUUUUAUUGUGCUAUUUUUGGACAUACUUUAUGAAAUUUCUGACUCCGUCAAUAUUAACUACUGAAAACUUCUAACAUGUUUAGAACAACAAGUACUCGAAGAGUUUUAUUUUUUUAAUGCAUGAACUAGAAGUCUUUUUUUUUCUUGAUUAAACUUCGUGUUCAGUCAAAUCAAAAUAAAAGAGAAUAAAUAUUUAGUAUAGUUGAUUUUAGCAAGAACCAAGAAAUGAUUUUUUUCCUCAAUUUCUUCAUCAAAUUAAACUAAUAGUAGUGAAUGUUUGUCAUGCUACAAAAUACAAUGGUUCUAGGAUUGUGAAGAGGGUAGGCAAAUAGUUGGACUUUGGGGAUUAAUCAACAUGUGUGUAAAUCUCAAGGCUAAUUAAGUGUAGGUUAAUUAUUUGGAAUUUAAUUUAAUUUAAUUGCAACCUAAAUAUUAUAUGGUUUAUAUAUAUAUAUAUAUAUAUAUAUAUAUAUAUAUAUAUAUAUAUAUAUAUAUAUAUAUAUAUAUAUAUAUAUAUAUAUUUGGUUCCAAAUUCCAAAACAAAGAAAUAUGAGUCCUCCCAAGACACAACUAGCCGCUCUUCUUCCACCUACUCCAUGUGGAUGGUUUUGUCAACUUUUUCUCGUAGAAACGAAUUCAAAAUUUAAAUAAGAUAAAUAUUUAAAAAAAUUCGUAUAUAAAACGUAUACGUGUUUAUAGAUGAUUUUAAGAUUUAAAUGUGAUAAAUUCACCGUUAAGGUUUUUAGUGCAUUAAAAUAUGCAUAUAAGUUUACAUUAUUAUUUUUUUAUAUAAUAUGUUCAUAACUUCAUAUAUGUUUGAGAGAGUGUAAAUGAUCGAUCGAGGCACAUGUUAUUAGUCUUGAAAAAUACAAAAGUUAUUAUUCCAACUUCGAAUGAUAAUAUAAUUUUGGUUACUUUAAUUUUUAAUGCAAUUCUUAUCCAAGAUAUUUCUAUUUCUACCAUGUCACACGUGAGUUUAUGUCUCUUUACCUCAAAAUUAGUCGUUUAAUCUUGAGUCAUUAAAAUCUUUCUGAUUUAAUUCGAUUACAUUAUAUGCAAUCGAUAUGUUAUUAUAAGUCAUCAAAAUAUUUUCAAAACGACAUACUUUUUAAUUUGAUAUUCAUUAUAUUAUGUUAAGAAAUGGAGGGCGGAUUAAGUUAUGCUCCGUUUUAAAGCUCGUUUUAAUUUAAAUAACUUUUGAAUAGAUAAUCAAUAACCUACCUGCUCAUAUCUACUAAUUUAAUUUAUUUUGAUCUGUUUAAAUUCAACUCACUUUGUAUUAAGCAAUUGUAAUAUAAUACUUUAUCCCUUGAUAAUAUUGAUGUGUUAUUGUGACAUGCAUAGAGAUAAUACUUGUAGGUACAGUGGUUCACCAUGCAUUUGUCUUUGGACCAGUACCAAAUGGAAUAUAAGAUUCAAAUUUAUAAAAUUUAAAUUAUGAAUUCGCCUUCAAUAAUGAUAAGUUAGUUUGAUUGUAAGCUCCAUUAUCAAUCUUUCUUACCAACACGUGCUUUAUUUAGAUCGUAAAUUAGUCAUAGAACUUUAAUUUUUAAAGUAAAAUUAAAAUGAUUGAAUUAAGAUGAUUUAUUCAAACCUUUUUAUGAGAAAAUUAUAUUGUACAUAGAAAUUUCUAUAAACCAAUAAUGAAUAUUUGUUUCUGAAUGCCAAAUAAAUUACAUAUUUGUUGGAGUAAUAACGAAUAAUGCUAAAUGGCUAGAAAAUUUAGUUAGAAAUUUAUUAAAAAAAUUAAUUUAAAAUUAAUUUUUUUUAAUUUUAUAAUUAAAGUGUAUUAAAAUUACAAGAAUAUAAAUAUUUAAAAAAUAAAACAAAUACCAUUCUUAUCAAUCAAAUUCUAAUCAAAUUUUCUGGCGAAUUUUUUUUUUCUAUUUAACAAUAUAUUUUUUUGGAAGAGCUAUACUUAUUUCAUCGAAGAAAACAUUCUUUUUUUUUGUUCAUUUUUUUUUUGGGAAUACCAAUAAUUAGAAAUAAAAUCUUGGAAAUGCAAAACCUCACAUGUCUCUUGCAUUUUAUCUUGUUAUUUUAAUUUUUGUGUACGUUGGAUAUCUAAAGGACAAAUAAUAUUUAGAAAUAAAAUUUUGUGUUAUUUUUAUUAUUAUAUUUCCAAAUUCAUAUAGUUCUAGAAAUAUAUAUAUAUUACGAUUUCUUCUCCUUUAAGAAUUUUUCCUUAAAAAAAUUAUAUAUAUAUAUAUAUAUAUAUAUAUAUAUAUAUAUAUAUAUAUAUAUAUAUAUAUACCAAUAGUACAAAAAAACUGAGCGUAAUUUAAUACGUGAGUAAGUUAAUUUAUUAUUUUAUCAGAUUAUCAUUGAUAUUUAUUAUAAAAUGACUUAAUUAUAUAAUUAUAAUAUUUUUAAACCUUCAAAGCAUAAAACUUAAAAUUCUAGAAUGAUUAUUAUAAUAUUGACUUUUCUCUUCUUCCUUUUUCCAUCCAAUUAUAUUUUCUCUUUUUUUGCCUUUUUGUAUAUUAAAUUUGGUUAAAUUAAUUUUUUUUUCUUUUUCCCUUUUUGUAUAUUAAAUUUGGUUUAAUUAUCCACCGCCCAUUUAAAAAGCUAAAAUAAUUAACGAACUUCCUCGUGAUUUCAUAAAGUUAUGGAAUAUUUCUUUUACUUAUUUUUUUCGUAGAGAUCAAGUACGUUUAAGUAUUAAAAUUAUUACAACUUGAAUUAAUUUUAAUUAAUCCAAAGAUAAAGUUUGUUGAAUAAAUCAAUAUUAAAUUCUAUAAUCUCAAAAGCUAAGCAGAAAGUUACGCCGACUAAAACAUAUUUUAUUCUAUUUUCUUAUGUUUUUUUUUUUUAAAAAACAACAACUAAAUAUAAUAUAAUCAUUUAUUCCCACAGGCUUUUCACUGUACUUUGUGGGUGCGCUUGGUAGGAAGAAAAUAUUUUUCGCGAAAAAUAUUUUUUUAAGGAAAAUAAGUGAGAUUGUGUCUAAUACGUAAAUAAAAUAUUAUCUUAAGAUAUUUAUAUGUUAUUUAGAUAUAGAAAAUGUAUUAAAAAGUCGAAAAAUAAAGAUAAAAGUGUAUUGAAGGAUUCAAAGGUUAUAUUUACUAUAAAAUGUAAUUUAUGAAACUUGUUUUUCUUAUAUUUAUUAUGAAAAUUUGGUUUUUACAAUUUUUUGAUUAGUCGAGCGCUUUUGUUUAUCUCUUUUAUUAUUUUCGUUUCAGUUCAUGUGAUACAUUUUUUCUCAUUAAUUAUGUUCUAAAAAGAAUGACACGAUAUUUUUAUCUAAAUCAAUAAAUAGUUAAUUUUAUAUAUUUUUAAUGAGAAAAAUUUACUAUCACACAAAUAUUAUGAUGCAUUUAAUUUAACAUGUAUUAAAGUAUUAAUUAUCAAAAAAAAUAAAAUAUUAAACUGAUUAAAGUUAAAUCACAUAAAUUAAAACAGGAAAAGUAUCUGAAUAAUGGUUGCAUAUGUCUAUCAUUAUUUUUAUAAAUUAAAGAGAAAGAAUAUACUCCAUAUAAUCACACACUUACAUGCUCACAAGACCAAUUAAUUAAUCUCAUAUAUUAUAUAUAAUCACAUGAAUAGUAAUGAUUUAUUUGCCUAAUCAUUAUGAUACUUUUGAUUAACAUAAAGUGAUUAAGAACCAUAUUUUCAAUCCUUAAUUAAUUAUCAUAUGAUUUAAUUAUAUCAGAAAUAAUUAGUCCUGAUACAUGAGUAUAACAAUCUUUCUAAUAAUUUUAUGCACAUCUUCCAAAGUUUGGAAAAAAAAAACACAUAUAGACUAUAUUAAUUAAUUGAGAUUAUAUAUUUUAGUCAUGUAGUAUUACUUUAAACCAUAUUUGUUAGGAAUUAAUCUUUAAUUUAAUUAGAUAUAUAUAAUUUAUUAAUUAGUAUAAAUAUAAAGAUUUUCUAGUGUUCAAGAAACUAAGAUUUUACAAUAUCGAUCUUAAAUAAAGUAGCGACCAUGUUCAACUUGCUUAGAACAAAGAGCAAUCAGUUAAACACAGCCUAUCAAAAACUAAAUAAACAUAUGAUGCAUAUUGAUCAAAUUAAGACUUAUUAUGCAUAUAUAAUAUCUGAAAUAUCACUUUUAAAUAUCUUUUACGAAAUUUUUAAUUCUGAUAUAAUUUUUAGAUACGAUGUUAUUGUUAUUGUAGUAUUAGUUGAAACCAAAUAUUUUUUUUUUUGGGAUGUAUAGACAUUUGAUCAACCUAGAGUAACUCAAGCUUUGAUAUGUGCGUUGUCCUAAGAUGAUAUGAUGAGAUUUCACUACAAUCAACUUUGCCAAUAUUCUUCAAAAAACUAAAAAUAUUGAGAUUUUCGAUGGAAAAUUCUUAGAGAACAUUUUCUUUUACGAGUGUUUUUCAAACUGAUAAGUGACGAUUUUGAAAAACUUGUGCUCUUAGGGCAUGUAGACAACUCAAUAUGUUUGUUUUUUUUUUACUAUAAGAAACUUCCUAUAAAAUUUUAGUUGAAAAUUAGAAGAUAUUGGGAAAUAGCUACACCUCAUGUUUUUUGUUGGUUUUGUUUGUUUUUUUGAAGGGUGUGAUUAUGGGUUUUCAUGCUCAAUGGUACUUUUAGGUGGAAAAGAAUGGAAGUGAGAUAAUAACAAUUAAAAAAAAAAAAUUGGAAUGUAGUGUAAAAUUUUAUUUUAUUUUUAGAAAAUAUAUAUUUUAUUUCUUGGAAGAAAAUAAAUAUAAGGAUAAGGAGGAGAAGACAUAUUUACACACACUCUCUUUAUCUCUCUCUCUCUCCUCACAUGAAUAAAACUAUAUAAUAAGUAUCAAAAAAUAAAUCGAUGACUUUUAUUUUAUUCGAUCGAAUUUAAAAUAAAAGUCGAAUUAAUUAAUUUUAAUUUUAAUCAAAAAGUAUGAACCUCUAAUAUAUGAUAUCAAAAUUCAUAAGCAAUUAAUCACUAUAUCCAAUUCAAUUUAAUUUUAACUUUUCUCUCCGUCCAAAUAACAAACAAAUGAAGCAAAUAAUUUAAUUGCUUCCCUUUUUUUCUUUUUAUUUUUUUGGUCCAUUUUUAAAAUAAGAAAACUCAAGCAUUUGUAUCAAGUCAACACAUUAAUUAAGCCGUGUGAUGCUUUUUACUAAAAAUAGGGCAAAUUGAUUUUUCCAAAAAUCUUAAUUAUUUUGCUAUUCCAAAAUCAAUUUAUGUGUAAUUUAACCAAAAAAACAUUAUGUGGGGGUGGGAGGAUAAAUAGCUGCGGAGUGAAAAGAAUAAUAAACUUGAAAUAUUAGUUAUAAAAUUAGCGAAGACAAUUUCCUCGUUUUUAAGGAAGAAAUGUAUGUUUCAAAAGGGGUCAUAAAAUGAACUCGGAAGGGAAGCUACAAGAGCAGGAGGAACACUUUGAUUAAUCGUAGUCAAGUCGAGUGAUCAAUGAUAUAGAUUGGGUACAAUUACUGAUACUCGUUGGUGGAAAGAGACAAUAUCUCAUAAACAAAAUGUGUGCAAGAAGAUCCAGACAUCAAAAUUAUUAAAAAAACAAAUUAAUUUACCAAACAUGAAAAAAUUGAAAUUUGAUAGAUUGGAUACCAUUACUGAUACUCGUUGGUGGAAAGAGACAAUAUCUCAUGAACAAAAUGUGUGCAAGAAGAUCCGAACAUCAAAACUAUAAAAAAAGAUAUUAAUUUACCGAACAUGAAAAAAUUGAAAUUUGAGUCGGAGUCUUUUGACUAUCAUAUUUACCCUCAACUUGAUAUAUCUUAGCUGGAGCAAAUAUGUAACAAAGUGCAAUUCAAAUACAUGAAAGCUCAAAUUUGUAGGUUGACUCCAAAUAUGUGACAAAUUUAUGACUUAUUUUGGUUGCAAAAAAUAAUAAAUUAUAUUUAAUGUACAAGUUAGUUUGAGUUCACACAGGCCAUACUAUAUAGUAGCAUAGCAUGCAUAGCUUGGACAUAGAUGAAAUACUUUAUAGAAGUCUUUACAUUGAAUGUGGGGUCUCUCAUUAAUAAUAUACUCCCUCCGUCUCAAAAUACCUGUCAUAAUAAAAAUUCAAGAAAAAAAUAAUCAAUUUUCUCUCAUUUUACCAUUAGCGUCAAUUGUUCUUAAAGACUAUAAAUACCUCGACUACGACAUGUAAAUAGAGUAUAACAUUCAGAUAUAAAUAAGGAUGCAACAACAACAAUAUAUCCAGUAAAAUCACACUAAGCAGGAUUUGAGGAGGAUAGAACGUAACGCAGACCUUACUACUUCCUCAAUGAGGUAGAGAGGUUAUUUAUAAUUAACCCUCGGCUCAAGUAUAAAAGGACGAAAAUAAGAUUAAAAUAAUCAAAUACCCUUCUUAAUUAAUAUUUUCUUAAGCAUGUAAAUGAAAAAUACGACAAGUAGUUUGAAACGGAGGAAGUAUACAGAUUUAGUAGUCAAAUACCUAUUCUGAUUAAUAUUUUCUUAAAGGUCGUGUAAAUGAUGAACACGAUAAGUAUUUUGAGACAGAUGGAAGUAUAUAGGUUCAAAGGGAGUUAAAACAAUUUUAUAUAGUAUAGCUUAUAGGUAGAUACAUUAAUUAAAAGAAUAUAUGUUCAUAUCAAAACAAAGUAAGGGAGAAGACCACAAACUUAAUCAUAUGAAAAGGACAAUAAACACAUCAUUUUCAAAUCCUAAUUACAUCCCCCACACCCCUACCCAACCCCCACCCCUCUCAUGGCCAACUUCCCCCUUAUUUAAACCUCUCUAUUCCUCUAAACCCUCUCCACACAAUUCAUUGUCAACUUGAAAACUCAUAAUAUUUCUCUUUUCUCCUCCUUGAUCUUCAACAACAACAAAACAAAAAAAAAAAUUGCAAGAAAAACAAAAGUUGAGUUCAUUGCAUAUUUCUAGAACUUAUCUUGAUGAAUCAAUAUUGUAAUAGUCCUUGUUCACCACUAAUGGUUCAUGAACUUGAACAAGAAGACUUGUUUGCUGGUAGAUGUAUACUAGUAAAUGGUCCUGUUAUUAUUGGUGCUGGUCCUUCAGGACUAGCAGUUGGCGCGGGCCUUAAACAACAAGGGGUUCCCUUUGUGAUCUUAGACCGCGCCAACUGCAUUGCAUCCUUAUGGCAAAACAGGACGUAUGAUCGCCUUAAACUUCACCUCCCGCGACAAUUCUGUGAAUUGCGUUACUUCCCAUUUCCACAAAACUUCCCUGAGUAUCCUACCAAGUAUCAAUUCAUUAGCUACCUUGAAUCUUAUGCCAAGAACUUCGAGAUCAGCCCACGAUUCAAUGAGUCGGUCCACUCUGCUAAGUAUGAUGAAACAUGUGGUUUAUGGAGGGUGAAGACAGUGUGUAGAAAUGGUUCAGUCAUUGAAUAUAUAUGUAGGUGGCUUGUGGUGGCUACAGGAGAGAAUGCAGAAAGAGUAGUGCCCGAAUUCGAAGGAUUAGAAGAUUUUGGUGGACAUAUUAUGCAUGCUUGUGACUAUAAAACAGGGGAAGUUUAUGAAGGGAAGAAUGUGUUAGUUGUUGGAUGUGGUAAUUCAGGCAUGGAAGUUUCACUUGAUCUUUGUCACCAUAAUGCAAGUCCAUUCAUGGUCGUUCGAAGCUCGGUAAGUCUCAUUCAUCUAAUCCAAAAUCUUUCAUGACUUACAUCUGCUAAAGAAGAAAAAAAAAAACACUCAAUUUCCUUCAUAAAUCUGCACACGACAUAUCGAAUUCCUCAUGACACAUACAUAAGAGGUCACUCCUUUAAUAAUCUACAUGAUUUACGUUUUCUAAGAGAAAAAAACACUCAAUUAACUUGAGCGCGUUUUGUCUAUGUCCUUCAUUUGCCAGAAAAUCUGCACUUGACAUCUCUAAUUCCUCAUCACAAGUCUAUAUAUAUAAUCAUCAUAUGAUAUGUAAUGAAAUAAUCAAUCUAGAAAAUCUGCACCUGACAUCGCUAAUUCCUCAUCACAAAUAUAUAAUCAUAUGAUAUCUAAUGAAAUAAUCAAUCUUUUCAUGAAACAGGUUCAUGUUUUACCAAGGGAAAUACUCGGAAAAUCAACGUUUGAGUUAGGAGUAUCAAUGAUGAAAUGGCUAUCAAUUGAUGUAGUUGACAAGAUAUUACUAGUUGCAGCAAGGUUACUUCUUGGAAACAUAGAAAAGUAUGGUUUAAAAAGGCCAUCCAUUGGACCUUUACAACUCAAGAAUACAGAAGGAAAAACUCCAGUUCUAGACAUAGGUGCAUUACAAAAGAUUAAAACAGGAGACAUAAAGAUAGUUCCAGCAAUCAAAAAAUUUUCUCAAGGAAAAGUAGAAUUUGUCAAUGGAGAAAUACAAGAAAUUGAUUGUAUCAUUUUGGCAACAGGAUAUUGCAGCAAUGUUCCUUCUUGGUUAAAGGUAAGAAAAAAAAAUAUUUUUUUUAUUUUUAUUUUGGUUGUGUAUUUAUUUUUUAAUUUAUGGAUUGUUGUGACAGUUAUGGAAGUUGGUUUUUUUCUUUGUAGAUUCUCUGUUCCUAUUUCUUGUAGCAUUGUUAUGUAUGAUCAGGUGGAUGAUACACGUAUUCUUUUAUACUAUGGUAAUUAAUAUUUUCAGAAACAAGAUUGAGCUUUCCAAGAAAAUAGUUGAAUGGAUUAGAUCAGAGAUCUGAGCAGCAAAUAAAAUUCUGUUUUUUGUCCUUUUUUCUAUGUUCAAGAAUAUUUUCAUUGAAUUUUGGUAUAAUGAGUUUGUAUUCAUUUUUAAAAUGCAGGAAAGUGAAUUCUUUUCAAGGGAGGGAUUUCCAAGAAGUCCAUUUCCAAAUGGAUGGAAAGGAAAAGCUGGUUUAUAUGCAGUUGGAUUUACAAAGAGAGGACUUUCUGGUGCAUCUUUGGAUGCAAUUAAAGUAUCACAAGAUAUUGGAAAAAUUUGGAAAGAAGAAAUUAAACAGAAAAAUCAAUCUGUUGCUGUUGCAUGUCAUAGAAGAAACAAGUUAUCUUCCUUCUAGUAAACGACAACAACAUACUCAGCAUAGUCCUACAAGUAGAAUCUGGAGAGGGUAGUGUGUACGCACAUCUUACCUCUAUCUAUUGUUUCUAAUAGACCCUCCAAGUUACCCUUCUAAUAUAAUUUUUUUAUAUUUUUUUUUUAACUUUUUACCUUUUCUUCCUGUAAUUUUUACUUGCAAAGUAACCAAAAAAAAAAAAAAGUAAAGACCAUUUUGUGACAAGAGACAAACACAGAAAGCAGCCCUGUCCAGAGAAAUACCCAAAUUCUUCUUUGGGCAUUUUAGUAGGAAGAAGAGGCUUUUUUUAGCAUCUACUUCUAAGGAGAAAUUUGUACAAAAGGUUUAUUAAUAUAUGUACUAAUAGAAAAAAUGUGACUAUAUAUAUAUAUAUAUAUCCUUUUCUUGGUAAGUAAUUUAACCAGUAUCUUUUAAAUAGUAAGGGAGGUUAUACAGUAGUCCCUAGCCAAUAUAUAUAUAUAUAUAUAUAUAUAUAGAUUAUACACAAUUCCACACAUAUAUUAUGUAAAUCAUGAGCUAAGUUGUAGAGACUCUUCAAAAAGAUCGAUGGAUAUGUAUCGUUGGGGGAAUCUAACAUAGAUGUGACAACAUUUUUGGAGUCCGAGCAACAUAAAUAAUGAGGGCUUCAAGGCCUGUGAAGGGAAAUUAACCUUCUGAUAUUGUAAAAGUUGGUUAAAGAAUGGUCAAGGGUAAUAGGAAGGUUCUCUCACUCAAUAAAUUUUGGUCCACCUAAGUCAUUUAUUCUACUGAUGGGAUCUAUCUCUAGAACAUGGUCCACCUAGGGGCCCCAUUAAAUAUGGUGGACCAAAAUAUCCAUAAUUCCACAACAUCCAUUCUUUAAAUUUAAAGAUGACAUAGACUUUUCACUAGUUUAGUUCAAGAAAAUACCUAUGCAUAACUCUUAGAGCACCUCCAUGUUGCCAAGCACAUGGAUAGAGCCCACAGAGAAGAGAGAAACAUAGGGGGUAAAAAGAUCCCCUUGCCUUCAAGUCAAACUUGGAAGGUAUUCUGUCUAUAUUGCUAGGACUCUUUAAAAAUGUCACUAUGUGCAUGUCGGAUCUAUCCUCCGAAAGUAGCACAUUUUUUAACCAGUCUUAGCAACAUACAAUUCAAUGGUAAAAGCACAACAUGUUAUGAGUGUUUUACACUUUGUUGUGGACAAUAACCUGGUAUAUAGAAAAGGUAAAGGAACAAACUCACUAUUCAUUGAGUUUCGAACCAUGCACCAGCUAACUAGCCCUCAGAAAUUUCUCGAUUAUAAGAACGAAAAAGUCAAACUUGGAGAAUAGUUUGAUACUAUUUGAUCUUUCUAAAUCUUUCACAUGUAUAAUAUAAUAUACUUUUAAGAGGUUUCUCAAAUUGGAUAGAAUUUAGAACACCAUACCUCAGACCAAUGCCAUAUGAGUCUAGCUAGCUCAGUCAUUGUCACCUAGUAAAGUGAGAAGAUUAUCUUGAACUUUAUAGGGGUACAACUUCAUGGAUUGGAUAGUUCAAAGAGUCAUCCUGAAGUUAUCAUAUUCCCCUCUUCACAAGUCAAAAUAUUUAUAACAUUGACUCACAAUAUCUCAUUAUAACAGAUUGCCUUACCAAAAAUAGAAAAAUAUGAAAAAUAGAAACAAUGAAUAAUUUUAUCCAUCUAGCCUAGCCACACCUAUCAGCAAAUCCUAUAUGAAUCAUUGCCAUGUUAGCAUCCUAAAUUUUUUUCUCCUGUAUCAAUCUUCUUUAUUUGGUUCCUGUACAAUGUCCAUAAACUGAAAUGUCCUAAGAGCAUCACAUUGUAACAAUAGAUGCCUCGUUCAUCAUUCGAAUUUUUAAUUCUCUCUAUCUUUUCUAAUAAGAAUCUAAAAGAGAUAGGAUGAGGGAGACAGAAUAUACAUUUGAUAGUCAGUUCGAUGAAUAAAAAUCUCGAGAAAACUAUUCAAUUGAAUCAUUGGGGAAGGGGGAAGAAGAAGGUUGAUUAUAGGUUCAGAGGAGUGGUCCAUGGUUGUCUCCUUGGUAACAAAUAUUAUUUCCUGUUAUGUAACAAUCUUAUAAUAUAAAAAAAUGGGAAUUGAACUUCUUUUCAAUGAGAUCCAACAUGACUUAAAUUUCCCAUUGCACAAUGAACAAAGAACAUAAAAAAAAUUCCACUGACAGAAAAGAUUUAAACAAAAAGAAGAAAAUCCAAAGAAGUAGUACAUAUAUAGACAACCCAUAUGAGUUCCCAUGCUGUUGAAUCAACCAUGCAGCAAACCUUUAUCUACUGUCCCAUCUAGAAUUGCUUCACCACCACAUAAAAAAAAUUCUUGUAAAAACAAAUAUAGAUAUAUUAUAUACAAAAAAAGACAGUUUCAAACCUUAAAUUAAUGAAUGUAAAACACACACAGCUCAUGUUCCUCAACUUGAUCCAUGCAAAGUGUUUGAAUUUAACACUUCUCUACCAGGAACCUACAGUUUCUAUUAUGUCUUUUUGCAGUGUAACUUGUAUUUUUUUCCACACCUUGCAACCAGGGGCAGAGCUACAGUUCUGCCUACGGAUUCGACAUUAUUGAGAAAUACAAGUAAAAGCUUUUAGAUGAGAUGAUCAAACACUUCAACAGACACAACUCAAUAGCUGUAUUUGUGUUUUAAAAUUUAUUUACUACGAUUAGAUAAGAGUGUAAUCCCACCUGCAAGGUCUGCGGAGGGUUUAGUGUUUGAACACCUUACCUCAUCUCGUGGAGGUUAAAAUUUAUUUAAUAUGUAUAAAUAAUAUAUCCAUAAAUCAGUAAGCUACAUUUUCUAGAAUUCAGAACUCGUAAACUCAAAAUUCUUGUUCCGCCUCAGCUUGCAAACCUAUUAUUAGAUAUCACUUUUACCGAGAGAGAAAUACACAUGGCCUGGGUCACUAACUAUAUCCUCAAAGUUCCAUGAGAAAGCCCAUUCCUUCAUGCCCUGAUAAGCAGUCAAUUUGCAAGUGUUAACUUGAGUUGGAUGGUGGACACUACAUCUUUGUAUCUUACUGUUGCAUGUCCUACUAGAAGAGUGUGUAUCCUGUGAUUGGUGAAGUUAAAAUAUAUGAAGCUUAUAUAGGUGUCCCAUAUAAAACAUGAGAUAAUAGUGGUGGAGCACCCUUGUCCAAGGGGUGUCAAUUUGUUGAAAAAUCACAUUGUAUAGAUAGAUAAGAAAAUUCAUAUAUACUAUAUGUUGAAUCUCCUUUACUUCUUCGUGUAUUUUUACCGACUUCCCUUGGUGAAAUCACAGUCCACCAAUCAUCUUUCAUAAUCAUUGACUAAUACUUUUAACCAUUUCCAAAAGAAAUUUGAAAAAUGAAUUUACAUAUCAUAGUACUUUGAACAUGGAUUGAAACGAUGUUUCGAAAAAUAUAAAUCAUCUUUCAGACUUCACACUGGAGAUAGGUUGAAAUGACUCUUGAUAAACUACAUAUCACAUUCAGUUUGAACCAGAAGACAAACAGAACAAUAUCUUAAGCAAAGCUAAAUCAAAUGUGAUAUCAUGGAUUUACUAUCAAAAGCACAAGCAUUUGAAACUAAAUCACAUACAUGAAGAGUUGUUUUUACCAAUGGUCAACAUAGUUAAUUAUUAUAAAAGGAAUUACAAUUCUAUCAAAAAGAGUUAAUUCUGAUGUGUGUUUAAUUAGACACUAUACACGUACAUGAAGAGUUGCAAUCACCAACAUUUUUUUGAUAACCAUGGUGUACGGGUUAGCUCGCACGCACCUCGACUACUCUAUGGGAUACUUGCUACCUUCCACCAGCAUAGGUACCGGAUAACUUUGUUCACCAAAGCUUGAGUUGCAAAUGCCAAAGUUCUACCAUCAAAUUAUUCACUUUUUGGAAAGCAUUUGAUCAAUUUCUCCACUCUCGUUGUACAUGCUAACAAUUUUCUUUGCAUAUUCAGGCAUAUGUCUGUCCGCUCUGCAAUUACACAAAAAACACGUGUGAGAAAAAAUUAAUGUAAUCCAUCAUAAUGGAACAAAUAUGAAUUUCUACAGACCUUUCUUUUCCCCAUUUGCGGACUACGUUUAAGUAAUUUCUGAUUGUGUGAUAAUCUAGCGAGUAACGUGCAAAUUCUAGACCCUUCGGUCCGACCUGAACCAAGACAAACAAGUUUAAGCACAGGGAAUUUGUUGUCCUUUCUGAAAGUAACAAGUCAGUGAACAAAAAGUUCUUACUAUGUUGAGAAGAAAUGCUAUUAAAUUUCCAACAAACUUUGGAGCAGGUUGAGAAGGACCUCUUCCUGGAAAUUCAGAAAGUUUCUGCAUAAGUCUUGUGAGAUUACUGAGAAGUUGUUCAACAAAAAUAUUUACUUCAAGAACAUGUCAGAAAAGGAUUUACUUCUCGGGGUUCUGCCUUCAGCAUACUGUAAUCAACGGGGAGUAUCAUAACAAAUGAAGUAAUUGAAGCAACUUAAAUAGCUAAAUUCACUUGACUUACAAGGAUUAAAACAAAUUAAGGUUAAUCUUAAAUAAACAGUCGAUGAGAUGUGUAACAUUUCAUACUUUUUAACAGCAUUCAAAGCGAAAAGGGAUAGGGAAAAAGGUCAGAUGUUUGAUACUUGCACAUGGACCCAACAAAGAACAGUACAAAACCCGAGAGCAGAUAUCUAAUUCUGAACCAGCAGCAGUAUGUGUACAGAGAGAGCCAGCUUAGUAACAACUUAUGAAAUGAAUAAAUAUCACAAAAUACCACAUACCAAAUUUUGCUUCAUCAUCUGCCUUCACGGUUUCCACGACAAAUGGACGCCGCUUACCCUGAAAAAAGAUGCAUGCUUUGAAAUAAGUAUAUCACAAGAAAGAGUUAAAAGAAAAAGUUGUGAGAUGAAGCAUCAUGUAUUACACUACUUAUCGUCGGAGUAAUUUCCAAGAGGUUCUCGAUAAGGUUUAGCAUUUCUCUACCACGUUCAUUUCUGCAUUUGGAAUGUGCAAAAGUAUAUCUUAAACAAGAUUAUUUAAGGGUAGAGCUAUCAGCAUGUCCUUUUAAUCUGUCAACGGCUUAUAAGAUUUGGCAACACUUUACCUGACAGUAACAUACUGGGGAUGCUGCAUCAUGCUGAUUCCACUGUAUUUCGGCACACCCAUGUAUCCCACCACCAAAUCCUGACAAGUUCCUUGAAGGUAAGAUUUGAAAUGUUGGCAUAUGCACCGGGAUUAUCAAGCUUUGCUUUUAUUUAAACGAAAUAAUCUGUCACGUUAAUGUUUGGAAACUACUGUAAUAGAGAAAGACAUCGACUAAUAAAUCUUCCAAGGAGCAAAAAUACUUAAUUUUCAUGGAUAAUAAGAUAUGCAGCAUCGAAUCUUCAAUGAUACGAUUCUAGAAACCUUAAAGAGUAAACUUAUGACGGAACCAUAAUGCAUUACCAUCCAAGACCAAAAUGAGUUUGCUAAAAGAUCCCCCUUGGACCUCAACCACUGAAUCUUAUCUCCAGAUCUGUCACAAGCUUUCACUUGAAAACAGUUGGAGCAAAUGAGUGGCCAGGUCUAGCUCUAGAACCUAUAAAUUCCUCAAUGAUCGAGGCUGCCUUUGCAAAACCUCUUUCCCUGUCAGAAAACUACGCACUAGAAAAAGAUCUGUUUGUGAGACAUAAAGAGAGAAGAGAUCUAUUCAAGAUUAACGAUUUGAUGACUAUAAUACAGACCUAUUUAUAAGUUCCAAACAUAGUAGACAAAUAGACAUUUGCAAAUGCAGGAAAUUACACCAGUAAAAUUUAAUAUUCCACCAGUAACACAUCACCUUUCAGAAUCUAAGACUAAUCAAAGUAGCAUUUAAGAGUAUGCUUUCCUUUGCUAUUUGAAAGUCUAACACAUGUGUAUGUACUGUGCACAUGCUUCUCUUGGAUGUUUAUUUUGUCUGUUUCUUUGUGAAAAUUGUAUUGUGCAAUAUAUCAGGGCCUUUAAUUAUGAACAAAGAACUCACCGCCAAGCCAUUUGUGUAGUCAAAACAGCUGUAAUAGAAGGAAAUAACAGUUUACAGAUCAGCACAAGUUCAUAUUCUGAAGAAUGAGAGACAGGAAUGAAAUAUAUGAUAAAUGCGAAUGUAGGAAACGUGAAGCUUGUAUAGAAUGUUCAUUUAGACUUCUCCAACUGCAUAGCAUCUUUACAUUUGUAGACAAGCUGAAAUCCAUGUUGACAUUGUCUAAAAGAAUGUGUUAUUAGUUUGAUUGAUUUCUUUGUUGCCUAAACUGACACGGCAGGGAAUGCUACCAUAUGCAAUAAACCCAACGACAAGUAUAGUUUUACAUGGCUUAUCCAACUUGAUUUAACCCAAUUGUCCAUAUCAGAGCGACAACUUACAAGUGAGAACCAGAGAUCACAUAGAACGUAAUAAGCCCAUGACACUACCUUCGUGCACAUACUAACAUACUUAUGUAUACUUCUCCCUAGUUUAUGCUCCACAAGUGAAGGAAUUUCUCAAUACGAAUGUAACUGAAAAAUAAAUAUAUUAACUAUUAGGAAGAAAGACGGUUCCUGAAGAUUUUGUUUGUCAUCAAAUUUGUUAAUCUACAUAAUCUUUGUCUGCACACCAAAUUUUCUUCCACAGAUUUUCACCCUUACUCCAUGAACAAAGUAUCUAGAAUAGUUUGACCAAGAACGGAUAUUACGAGCAUUAUUGAGAUCAUUGUUUCUUUUGAUUCAUAAGUGGGUCCAAAAAUGAGAUGGGAAGUUACAUUUCUAUGAACUUCAUAAGAAAAAUAGUUGGCAUGCAAUAAUUUUUCGAGUAAUUAACACAUUUUUUUAAAAAAGAAUAUCCAGUAGAUCGUCUAAGUAGCUCACUUAGAGAAUGUCGCCUACGACGGUUUGACUACAUCCCACAUAAACUUCCAUAUCCAUAUAGGUGAUACCAACUAGAUAGGAUGCAGUCAUUGAAGCAUAGUUGUUGCUACGCUUGCAUAAGUGCUUGUCAAGGGUCUUUUUAUUCUUGUUGAAAACUAGUAUAUCCACGUAGGGAUAAGGGUGAUAUUUCACAUCUUUAGUUUGCUACGGUUCCCUGCGGUCCAAACCCGGUGCCGCUUUAGGUUAGGGAGCUGGACGAUACCUUAUAACACGAAUUAUUAGAUAUUGGAAAAAAAUUGACCUAACAGAGCACAAUGGAUGCUGAGGAUACAUAAAGCCACCCAAACUAAUGUAGGAUUAAUUUAUAGUUGAUUGACUAAUUGGAUCAACUCAUAGAGGGAAAGAAAGAAUCAUUUCCAUGAGCACAAAGAGAUGGAACAAAAAAAUUAUAUUCAGACUUGUCCACCACCGACCUCUGACCCAAAAAGUCUACAGGUUAAGUAUGCAGAUAUUGUUUAAAGGCUUCAGUAAAUCAAUAAUAAGCAAUUGAAAUACCUGUAACAAGAUGGUGCAAUAACAUCAACCAAGUCAUUUGCUGGUAAACAGAAAUAGGGAACCUGCUUAGUGAAAUAUAGAUCUGAAUAAACAGCAUUCAAAUAAAACAAAAGAUACGAAAAAGAAGAUGCUAUUUUACCUCUUCAAUAUGGCCAUCCAAAUGCUUCAGAUGGACCUGUUGAAAUGUAGAGCUUAGACAGAUGCUUCAACUGAUUAGAAAACUAUCACAUGCAAUUCAAUAGUAUAUCCUUUAAAUCAUAGUAAAAGAAGAAAGCUAUAAUAUGGUUUACAGGAUUAACUGUCAAAUGUUUUCAUCUAUAAGGUGAUGAAGCACAUGUGAGCUUAAUUUAGUCUUUCUCAUUUGCAAGAUCCUACUUAUUGGUAAAUUUCUGAUCCAACAAAGGAUAGUAACCCUCCAUCAAAUUCAACACGACACCAGCGGACGAGGCAUGGUACUUGAGAUAUUAAUUUGAUUUGUGUAUUUUAUAGGUAGUAGUUGAGGAAAAUUUUAAAAUAUUUUUGUAAACGAAAUUAGGUUGACAUAGAAAUGCCAAAUCAAACCUUAAUAAUUUGACUAUUCAAACAUAUUAAAAUUUGAGAAACUGAUGAAGUUGUAUAAAGUUAUAUUGUUAGUAAGAUGGUGUCAAAGAUUUUUGUACGCCCAAAAUAAAGAUGUGUCAUAUAAAAUUUAUCAGGAUGGAGACAAUAUGAUAUAUUGAAGUGCAUCUUCAUGAGUGAACUUACCUCACCAACCAAAUGAAAACAUAUUCUAGAAAAGCACCCUAGUUAUCAGACUAAGAAAGGCUGUUUACUGAUGUUUUAGAAUACAACAGAAGCAGAAAACAUAUCGUCAUGACAAACACAGAAUGUAGAAGUUGGUUUCCUUGUUCUUAUACUUGAAUGGAUAGAAUUCCAAGAUCACAGAGGUUAUGCAUAAGUUGUCUCACAAUGAAGCUCAGCUUGUCAUAAAAGAGUAACAGGAGCUUACUUUUUUUUCUUUAUGGAAGAAAUAUAACAGUAGCACACCUUGUAGUCUUGCAUAAACUCAUAGUGGAGAACUGUUUCAGGUUCACUGCUAGCAGCCUUCAGAAAUUUAUCUAAACCUUCUCGUGGUCCAUUAUCCACUGUUGAGAAAUGACAGUUAGUAUAGGUCUAUAUUGACUAAAAAUAUCUAAGAGGGGAAAGGAGAUUCUAAUAAAAAGCAGUUUAUAGAGCAUCCCUCUUACUAUAUACUCCCUCCAUUUCAAUUAAUUGUCUUAUUCCUUUUCAGUCCGUUUCGAAAAAAAUAUUUCUUUCCCUUUCCUGAAACUCUAUAAUUCCAACUUUCCACAUAGCCUGUUUGAAACCACGAGUUAAGAGGUAUUUUGGUACAUUCUACAUAUUUAUAGUUUAAGAGUUAAGACCACGAAAUUCAAAAAGUUUUCUUUACUUUCUUAAACUUUGUGACAAGUAAAAACCACACAAACAAGUUGAAACAGAGGGAGUAUCAUAAAAGAUUCCAUUGAAUCUUUGUCCAGUUUGUCCACUUACUAUAUGUCUUAUUUUCUCUCCCUGCUUCUGUGGUGGACAAACUGAAAAAAUUAAGUUGACUCUUUUUUGAGAUACUAACAACAAACAAGUACUCCUACUGGUGAUGUUAAUAGAUCAAACUUUUUGUUAUUUAAUUUAAAAAAAGAUCAAAAUUAGAUCUCCAAACACACGUAAUUACAAACAUAAUCAAAUUUCAAGCAGUUGGUAGUUAUAUUAGAAUUGAUCAAAGAUGUAGGAAAGGAGUCUAUGAAUACCACCGACUACUCACCACAGUUAGUGCCUAGAACAUAAAGUUUUUCCAGAUUCAAAUAUUGCUCCACUGAUCUUAAAGCUGCAAGUUAGGAAAUUGUUCUGCUUAAAAUACAGAGAUGUAAAUUGUAAUGACAACAUCAAGUUUGAAGCAGAGAUGAAGAGAUCAUAACAACUUGGAUACCUUGAACUUGGCAGCCAACCCCGCAGAAGAGAAGGCGCUUUACACCAGCUGCCUGUUUCCAGGAAACAAUACUGCUUACUUCAACAUUUGAACUACAAGUUAUACUAUACACUUGUGUGACAAUCCUCAGUGAAAACUGGAAUCUCUUAAAGCCCAGUUUUUAAUGCAUUAGAGCAUGCACGACUAGAAAGUGUGAAAUUCCAUGAUUGCAUUGUUAUGAAAAGAAAUAACAAGAAGCCUACCCUUACAAGUGUGAUAUGCAGAUGGUUGAUGCUUACCAAAAGAAAGGGAGAAAGCAUUUGGGGAGAAAUAAGCUCAAAUAGUUAAAAUAAAGUCAAAAAAUAACCUACGACCUUCAAAUGGAUAGAGAGGAAAAAUUUGGCAAAAAGACUCUGAAAUUGUCAGGAAAGGAAUUCAGCUCGAACCAUAAUAUGGAACAAAUCAGAAAAUCAAAAGAGCUUAUCUUAAUAAAAUCCCCGAUUGGGGCAAUUACAGUAUUAGAUUGUGGUGGUCUGACGGGGGGAGGGGGGGUGAUAGUAAAGCUAAUUUGGUGGUGUGGUGAAGAAUAAGAAAGCAUAGCUACACAAGUUCCAAUUACCUAUUGAGGAGAGAUAUGGCAUCUUCAAUCCAUGACAACAUGCUCCAUUAAGAAUUCAAUAGAGUUACACAGAUUAUAAAUGCAUUGAUGACAACAGAACAAUCAAAGAUUCUGAUGAUAAUGGAAGUGAAAGAAGAAACCUCAACUAAGGCAAGAGUAUUUAGAUUAGGAGACAGUGUCGGCUUAACACCUUUAGCUGCUAUAACUUCCUCUGGAGUCCUAUUAGAAACAUAAAAUUAAAGUUGAAGAUCGAAAUGGUUAAAUUAACAGGUAAAAAAUCAACAUGAAUACAAAUAGCUCAGGAAUUCCCAGUCACAAACCUUGCCAGGACAGGUCGAGGAGCAAAUCGAUCUUCUGGAUCACUAAACAACAUAAAAAAAAGAAGGUAAAGAGUCCAUGAAUUGCUGGGUAAUAAGUAGAAGAAAGAAACCAAAAUUUCAAGUGCAUAACUCAUGUACAGUGAAAUUAACCAGGAGGGAGAACUAAAUUAUUUUUAACCAAAUUGGAUGCAAGCCAUACCUCUGAACACAAAUAACAGCUUCCACCAUCCCAGCUUUUAGCAUCUCCACGGCAAUAGUUGUCACUAUCCCCGUCCAUUGAGCUCCUGAAUGCCAGAAAGAAAAAGAUAGGAAUAUGACCAGAUGAUUCAUAGAAAUUGGCACAUUCUUUUAGUGAUCUAGAGAGCACAAGAAAACAAGCAACAGUAAAUUGAACUAGAAUACUACAUAAGAGCAUCCAAAGUUGUACCUUCCACAGGCUUAGUUUUACGAGCAUACAAUAGAUUCUCAUACACCCCCAUAUAAAUCUCAUCCAAGGAAUCUUCUUUCCGUCCUCGUCCAUGGACAAUAGGUUCCAAAGCCUAAAGAAGAUGAUAAGGAACAGUCAACAUCAUCUGGUCACUUUACCAUAAGAAAUACUAUCUGUACUUUGAGCUACUUCAUAUAAAUUUGACCAAAAGAGAAGGUCCUAAUAGCAUAGCAUGACUGAGUUGAGAACGCAUUCCAAGGAACUGCUACUCGUAGCAAGCACUGAAGUUUUUUAGUGAGUAAUCAAAUCAUUCUUUCUCAUAAAAGAACUUACAUGCACCCCCUGUCACCCUCCACCCACCAGUCAAACUAAAGACGGAAUAAUUUUCAAACUUUACCAAGUUCCUUUGGACAAUAACCAAAAAAAAAAAAAAAUUGUAUAGAAUUGGGGAAAAAAGUUUGACCUGUCACGAGAUUACGUUGUACCUGUAAACUAUGCUAAGCUGUAUGAAAUUAUUAAACAGAAGGUAGAAAAAACAAAGAAAAGAGAAAAGAGAAGAGGACAGAUGUACACCAUAGCGAAGACUUUGAUGGAGGUCUAUGAAUGUUUUCCCAUCGCCCUAUGAGGAGUCUGAUUAGAGUCCGACCAUACUGUGUUUCAGUAUAACAUUAUCAACCCCAUAAAUUUCAGUAUGUCGAGAUUAUGUUAACAACUAGAGAAAUCAUUCUUAUGAAGAUCCACUAUACGUGUCUUGUACCUUGUGUAAUUUAUAGCUCUAUAAUAAUGCCUAAAACUUCAUUUAUUCCAUAUCUUGUCAACAUUCAAAGCAGCAUACCUUUUACCCAAGAGAGUGAAACAGAAAUAUAAAAUUCAAACAUGCUUGUCAAAAGAACUAGUUGGGGUCGGAGGCGAGGACCAGUGAACCCAUCAAGUUCUAGUAUGCAACUUUUCCUAAUAACAAAGUGUUAAAAACUCUCAUGCUCCCAACAGAAGGGAUUUUAAUGGAAGUGGAGUGACCAAAGAAAGAUGAAUUCAAUUGCACACGAGCUAAUAGUGGAUUACACGGUCUCAGAGAACAUGAACCAGUACUCUCUCUGAGCAUCUUUCUAGCUUGCAAACUUUUCUUAUGACUUCCACAACACACUGCAAUAUCACAGCCAAGUCUUGUUUCACUGCAUACACUGUACAUAUUCAUAAGAUGUAAAUCCAUAUGGAUGAGAUAGCUUUUCAAAGGACACAAAAGACAAAACAAAAUUCACAGGGAAAAUCUGCAUGUGACAAUGAAAGCAUGCAAUAAUCAAACUCCAGUAGGUCAUUUAUGACAAACUUAAGGAACAAAAACUAGGCAUAAACAAUAAGAACUGCAACUAAAAGCAACAGUAUCUACAUGUACUAAAGUAGAGAAAGACUCACUUCAACUCUAGACAUGCCAUCCCCAAGAAAGCACAUGCAUUAUUCACAUGAGCAAUGUAGUAAGUGUCACACAAACCACAGUGGCUGCAAACCAGAAACAAAAACUACCAUCAGACAAAAAACUACUAUAAUGAUUACGAAAUAGUCACAAAAUAUACAAGAAAUUAAUUUAAAUAAGUAUGAAGAUGAGUGAUUAAAUGAUACUAACUUAUAAUCCUCAAAAACAUUGAAUUAGUAUAUAAAUAAUGUUAAUUAUUAUUUACCAAUUUCAAAAAAAAUGCUAAUUAAUAUAUAUGAUAUUCUUGUGAACGUCAAAACUUAUAUUUCAGUCUUCCAAACAAUACUUCAUCAUUCAAGCUCCUUUUUUUUCCAUUCUACAAAAUUUGACCCAACUUAGGACGAAUUGAUAUGGAAAGCUACGAUGCUUCAAAGACCCAAUGAAAUGCUUCCUCCAUUUCAAAUUGAAUACUUCAGGUUCUUUUUUAUACUUCAUGCCAAAUUAAUGCCCAAUCUCCCUCAUAUUUAUAGUUCUUUCACAUUUACUAUGAAAAUUGAACCAUUAUAGUUUCCGAAAAGGGAGAACUCUUCAAACACAUAUUAGUUUAAGACACUCUCUCCGUCCGGUAUUGUUUGUCAUGGUGUCUAUUCAUAGAGUCAAACUAUAAAAACUUUGACUAACAUUUUAAGGUGUAUUUUUUCAUCGUAUUAAUAUGCAAAAAAUUGCAAUUUAUAGUACUUUUCAUAUAGUUUUAAAAUAUCUAAUUAUUUUGUUUAAAAUAUCGAAUUAAUGUGAUUUAAUUUAACUUUGAAAAUUAGUCAAAUUGACUUUCAAAAAACACAACAUGACAAACAAUAUUGGACGGAGAGGGAGUGAUUCAUAAAUAGACACCUUAACUUUGCUUAACUAACAACUAAAUACUCCAACUUUAAGAAUGCACAUCUAGACGGUCUCCGAGACACCCGGCACUAUAUGUCUAGAUGAUCAUUUUGUACGUUGGGAGUGUUUAACUCACACAGCCAAGACCAGUUAAGAUGCACACUUUGAGUGUUCAGUUGCCAAUUGAGCCCAACCUAAGAUAUCUAUCUAUGUAUUUAUGUCAUAGUUUAAAGAUAACAAAUAAAAAUAACAACUUUUUCACUAGUCUAACUUACAAAAACUAAAAACUUCAAAAAAAAAAUACAUAGAAAAAUGAUCAAGCUACGCAAUUUACCUCCCAUUACAGCAUUAAAAGCUAAAAUUUCAAUUAUAUUAAGAAAAAAAAAAGCAGAAUUAUGAACCUGCAGUGGUCUUUAGCUGGAUAAGUCCCACCAGGAGGAAUAGGUCGAGAUUUUUUCCUCCAAUCUUCUCUAAUUUUCACUGAUUUCAGGUUUUGGUUUGCAUCUGUUGAGUAAUUCAAACAACAUCAACACACAAAGUUUCAAUUUUUUUUAAAAAAAAAACUCAUAGCAAAAGUUUGUCAUUUUUUGUAAAAAAAAGUUCCUCUAAGAGGAUUUUGUUCAGUGAAUGUAGAAAUGGAGAGAAACAAAACCUUGUUGUUGUGAAGAAGAUGAAACAGUGUAAAAUUUGAAGGGUAAAGUAGAGAUUUUUCCAGUAAGAAACGCCAUUGUUGCUCUGUGUAUCUGCACAAGUGUUUUGCGCCACAAAUAUAUAUCAAAUGAGAUUCUUUUAAGGGUGGAACCAAAACGGUGUCGUCCGGUAUUUAAUUAAUUUCUACUUUUUAUUUUUUUGGAUGAGUAAAAAAAGUGAAAUAUUAAAUAUUUAGAAAAUUAAGAAAUAAUUUUAAUUAUUUAUAAACAAUGAAUCGCUGAAAGUGAUUCGAACGAAUCCUUUUGGUCCUACCUAGCUUUGCUCCUGAAUAAGUACUCGAUAACAUAUUGUGUUGAAAUUUUGAUGAGAUAAACAACACAUACCAUAUCAUUUCACUGAAGUAAAAUCAUAUAGUCGUUCAUAUGAAUACUCAAAAUAGGGUGGCUUUUAAUUUUUGUUCGUCGGAUCAAUAGUCUUUGAAAAUACAAUCGUAAGGCAUAUGUUAUGUCAUACAAAACUUAUGCCUCUGUAGACAUAAGUUCAAUUUCAAAACAUUAUACCUUAAAAAGUUCAUAAAGUCACAAAUUAUAUCUUAUAAGGUAUAGACGUAAGUCCUACAUAACAUGUCGAUGGGAGUAUAAGUUCCAUUUUCAAAACUUGGAAGAUUAAACCUAGAGAAGUUCAUUACUCGCUAUAUCUUAUAAAUCAUAAGUCCCGUUUACAAAACCAGCAAAAUUGAGAAGUUCAUGAGUCACUAUAUCGGAAAAAAAGUGGUGGUUUAAUUGGAGCAGCCCAUCAGGCAUUAAUGGAACUUGGAAGGCACCGAUAACGAUAUAAAUCAUAAGUCCCGUUUACAAAACCAGCAAAAUUGAGAAGUUCAUGAGUCACUAUAUCGGAAAAAAAGUGGUGGUUUAAUUGGAGCAGCCCAUCAGGCAUUAAUGGAACUUGGAAGGCACCGGUCCGUUAUCCUUCCACUGCACAAAGCGGAAGUUUUUCGUUGCUCUGUGAAACCAGCCUCACGCGGUCCACCCCACUUUAGGAAUCUAGUAGCCCAUUCUUUCAAUUGGACCACAUGAUCCAACUCUGUGCUUGGAUAGGGCAGGCCAGAAAUUAGCCCACCAAGCCCAGCCAUCUGGGACAGCCCAAUAUUCCACCACCUUAACAUCCCCACUUGGGUUACAAGCCCACGUUACUAAGCUCGACAUACAA
rnacentral:lncRNA from 1 species